AGAAUCAGGUCGAUGUCGCAUCAUAUGGGUUUGCUUAUCAGAACGUGAGUCGAGGGGGAGGUCGAGGACGUGGCAAACUACGUCGUCUUGGCAGCAACUACAGCAGCACCUUAUCUCUCAACUCCUCUGUGUCAAGUGGCACUGUCAAGCAGAAGAAGAGGCAAUGGCGCAGUCGGCCUGUUCAAGCUCCUUCAUCACAGAACGAUGGAAUAUUGACGAUCUCCGUACAAAACCCAAGCUAUGAGUCUCCUCCACAACAAGAAUCGUCCAAGAAGUAUAACUACAACAAAAGGCUCUUCGCACAGUCAGGGACCAAUGCUCCUUUAAAUGAGAGGUUCCG
rnacentral:lncRNA from 1 species